UACGUAGGGUCCGAGCGUUGUCCGGAAUUACUGGGCGUAAAGCGUGCGCAGGCGGUUCGUUGUGUCGGCGGUGAAAGCCCCGGGCUUAACCUGGGAAUGGCCGUCGAAACUGGCGAACUGGAGUGUGGCAGAGGGGGGUGGAAUUCCGCGUGUAGCAGUGAAAUGCGUAGAGAUGCGGAGGAACACCGAUGGCGAAGGCAGCCCCCUGGGCUGACACUGACGCUCAGGCACGAAAGCGUGGGGAGCAAACAGG
rnacentral:rRNA from 1 species